CAGCAGCCACGGUAAUACGAACCGUGCGAACGUUAUUCGGAAUUACUGGGCUUAAAGCGCGUGUAGGCGGAUCGCCACGUCGGUCGCUGAAAUCCCCCGGCUCAACCGGGGAACGGGCGCCGAUACGGGCGGUCUCGAGGGGGGUAGGGGGGACUGGAACUUCCGGUGGAGCGGUGAAAUGCGUUGAGAUCGGAAGGAACGCCCGUGGCGAAAGCGAGUCCCUGGACCCUUUCUGACGCUGAGACGCGAAAGCCAGGGGAGCGAACGGGAUUAGAUACCCCAGUAGUCCCUGUCUCUUAUA
rnacentral:rRNA from 1 species